UCAUCUCUUAUCUUCCGUCUCUCUAAAACAGAAGAAAACCCAUCUCUCAUAUGAAAAGAACCCCAUUAAAUCUAUCGGAUUUCAGAAUUCCAAUAAAUCUAUCAGAUUCUAAGAAAUUGGAUAUAAAGAAGGAAGACAUAAAGAGAUGAAGAAAUUCAUUUCUUCCAUUUCCUCCACUUUUCUACUCCAUUCUCUGUAUGAUGUGAUGACUUUCAAGGGUUUGAGAGAUGAGAUUGAGAUUCGGUUUGAGAGAAUCAAUUGAUGUGGGUAUGUACAUGCUGAAGUGAUGGUGCUGCUGUGAACCAUGUAAGAGAACUACUAGGGAUAGUUAUGGAUUCGCAAUGAACAGAGAGAAGCAGUUAGGGUUUUGAAUUUGACUUUUGAAUUGAAUGAAAUCGAUAAGUAAAUCGAGUAUUAAUUGAUGAAGAAACAAAAGGGUAUUGUUUAAUUUUAGUUGUGAAAAUGUUUUUAGAUGAAGAAUCAAAGAAUUAGGGUUUGGAUUUUUAGGCCUGGAAUCAAGAUAAGAAUCGAGAUUUGGUUACAGGGGAAGGUAAUGAACAUGGUAAGACUGCGGUGAACAAUUUUUUCACGCCUCUCUCACCAAACAUAGAAGUGGAGUUGUGAACAGAAAUAAUUUUGAAUCUGGUGAUAUAGAAGUGGAGUUGUGAACAGAAACAUAGGAAUUUUGAGGGAGUAGAUGAAUGUUAGGACAAGGGUUUUUGAAAUCAAGAAGGAAAGAUGAUGAUGGAAGAAUCUGAGAGUUUUGAUAGAAGUGUGGUGCUGCAGGUGAACAUGAAGACAAAUCUGAGAAGGUGCUGUGGUUGUAUGUUGUUGUUGAGUUGUGCAGCUGAUGCAAAGAAGAGAAUGGGUAGGCAGUGUGUUGAUGGCCUUGAAGAGAAUGGGUAGGCAGGUUGUGUGGAGUUUCUGUUACACAAUGGUCCUGCUAGGGUCAAGAAUCUACAACAAUUUGCAGAUGGUGCUGCAGUUGAGAUGAAAUGGAAACAAGAACUGAUGCUGUGCUUGCCAUGAAGUCUAGAUGAAUGUGUAGGAUGUAAUAUUGCAGGACCGAAUGGGUGGUGUUGAACUGAGGCUUGUAGAUGAAUGUUAGGAUCCAGGUACAAAUUGGUUGUUGUGACUGUGAAGCGGUUAAUGAAACGGAGAAAGGCUCAAGCAGUACUUUGUGUAAGUGCAAAUGCAGUAUUUUGUUGGUGUUGUUAUUGCAGUGUCACUGCAAUGGGUUAGUGACUUGAUUGAGAUAGUCAGAACGAGGUAGAGAUAUUGGAGUUGGUUGCGCAUCUACAAUUGAGAGCAAGGUCUUACCAUGCAAUGAAGAGAAACUGUAGCUGUAGCUUGGUGUUCGUGGUACUGGAAAUGGUGGAACUGACAGAUGAAGGUGGUUCUACAGUGGCCUAGAGAGUGUUGCAGUUUUGUUUGCUGGAUGAACUGAAGCUGGAGAGGUUAUGUGGAAGGAGUAUUACAGUAAUUCAGUAUCCAGAAACUCUGCUAGCUAUGGUUCUUCAAGAUAUUGUAGUGAAGUGUGGGGAUCAAAGAAUUUGAGGCUUACAGGGAGGCACAUUUACCAUCUCAAACUUGGGAGCUCCCUUUGGAGCUGAACAAUUAUCUGCUAUCAUCAGUCCUUCUCAAGCUGGAAUUCUUGCUGUUGGGACAGCUGAGAGAAGGGUGGUGCCUGGAGCCGGUCCUGAUCAAUUUGACGUUGCCUCUUUCAUGCCGGUCCUGAUCUUUAAAGCAAACUGUUGUGCUGCAAGUUAACGGGGAAGAAGCAACAAAACCAACAUCCUGCCAACUAUAAUCCAGCCCCAGAUGCGUUCCAGUCUAUGUAGAUGCAGACUAUAAACCAACAUCCUGCCAACUAUAUGUCUUAUACCUGAGCAUCCUCAAGGUGAUGAUAAUCACAAUUAUUUGGGAUUUUAUAUUGCAAAUAAAAGGUUAAUUCCGCCUGUGCUGUAUUGAGGAGCAUCCAUUUUUUUUGUAAAGUACUGAAGUCUUUAAUGUGUGAUGUUUUGCAUAUACUUGAUGUAAACUUAAGGAAGUGUUCUGUGCUCUUGGAUGUGAUAUGAUUACAUAAUAUAUAAAAUUUUCUUGUUCAAUCCUU